rnacentral:rRNA from 1 species
CAAGCUACUAAGGGCGCACGGUGGAUGCCUUGGGGCAAGGAGCCGACGAAGGGCGUGGUAAGCUGCGAUAAGCCACGGGGAGCCGCAAACAGGCGUUGAUCCGUGGAUUCCCGAAUGGGGAAACCCGACCACCGCAAGGGUGGUCACCCACCGCUGAACCCAUAGGCGGUGCGGAGGGCACCCGGGGAACUGAAACAUCUCAGUACCCGGAGGAAAAGAAACCGAAUGGGAUUCCCUUAGUAGUGGCGAGCGAACGGGGAACAGCCUAAACCUGCAUCGUGCCAAGCCUGCCGGCGUUGCGAUGCAGGGGUCGUGGGACCUGACCGAGCGGGCGGCAGACCGCUCAGGGAGUGACCAAACCGUUUCUUAGCAGAAGCUGCCUGGAACGGCACGCCAUAGAGGGUGAGAGCCCCGUAUGCGAAAAGAAACGGUCUCCCGUCAGGCUCCCGAGUAGCGCGGGACACGAGGAACCCUGCGCGAAUCUGCCCGGACCACCGGGUAAGGCUAAACACUCCUUGCCACCGAUAGCGCAACCAGUACCGUGAGGGAAAGGUGAAAAGCACCCCGGCGAGGGGAGUGAAAUAGAACCUGAAACCGUGCGCCUACAAGCAGUCGGAGGGCUAUGCCCCGCAAGGGGAACAGCCUGACGGCGUGCCUUUUGCAGAAUGAGCCGGCGAGUUACGCUCAGCGGCAAGGUUAAGUGCCUCCGGCACGAAGCCGUAGCGAAAGCGAGUCCUCACAGGGCGACCCAGUCGCUGGGCGUAGACCCGAAACCGCGCGAUCUACCCCUGGUCAGGCUGAAGCCGUGGUAACACACGGUGGAGGGCCGAACCGGUGUCCGUUGAAAAGGGCUCGGAGGAACUGGGGGUAGUGUGGUGAAAUGCCAAUCGAGCGCGGAGAUAGCUGGUUCUCCCCGAAAUGCAUUGAGGUGCAGCCUCACGCGCUAUGCUAUGCAGGUAGAGCCACUGGAUGGGCUAGGGGGCCUACCAGCUUACCGAACCCAACCAAACUCCGAAUGGCAUAGCAUCGACCGUGGGAGUGAGACCGCGACGGAUGAGCGCCGUGGUCAAAAGGGAAACAGCCCAGACCGCCCGCUAAGGCCCCUAAGCACCAGCUCAGUGUGAAAGGAUGUAGGGUCGCGUAGACAGCCAGGAGGUUGGCUUAGAAGCAGCCAUCCUUUAAACAGUGCGUAAUAGCUGACUGGCCGAAUGUGACCCUGCGCCGACAAUGUAAGGGGGCUUAAGCUGGUCGCCGAAGCGGCGGGUUCACCCACCCCGGGUGAGCGGUAGGGGAGCGUUCUGCACGCAGGGAAGGGGGAGCGGAAGCACCCCUGGAGCGUGCAGAAGUGAGAAUGCCGGCACGAGUAGCGAGAAGACGGGUGAGAAUCCCGUCCGCCGAAAGCCUAAGGGUUCUUCAGGCAGGUUCGUCCGCUGAAGGUUAGGCGGUCCUAAGCCGAGGGCGAAACGCCGUAGGUGAAGGGCAGUGGGUCAACAUUCCCACCCCAGGUGGCGGAGCGAGAACGGGGACGCUGUAGAACGGGUCGGGCGCGGAGCUGGAAGGCCGCGCUCGCGGGUGAGGCAACGCACCCGCGACGAAGGAAGCCCUCGGGCAACCGAAGCGACCCCGACUGCAGCCGAGAAAAGCCGUUCCGCGAGGAAACCACCUGACCGUACCGCAAACCGACACAGGUAGGCAAGGCGAGGAGCCUCAGGCGCGCGAGAGAAGUCCCGCUAAGGAACUCGGCAAAUUGACCCCGUAACUUCGGGAGAAGGGGUGCCUCCAGCCGUGUAGGCUGCAACGCCCAAGCGGCAGGAGGUCGCAGCAAAGAGGGCCUGGCGACUGUUUACCAAAAACACAGCUCUCUGCAAAGGGGUAAACCCGAUGUAUAGGGGGCGACGCUUGGCCAAUGCCCGUCGGUUAAGGGGAGGGGUCAGCCGCAAGGCAAAGCCCCAAACUGAAGCCCGGGUGAAUGCCGGCCGUAACUCUAACGGUCCUAUGGUACCUUCGCUGCCCCCCUCAUGGGUAACCAUGAGGUGCGCAUCCGGCUAUAUGCUGGAAAAUCCGAGUAUCCAGCGGUACUUGCAGGGAAACUCCUUUCUCGAGGCGAAAGGAAUCCCUGUGAGUAACAAUCCGACUGGUGCGGACAACCAGCAGGAAAGGCUAAUCCUUAUCGGAUGGGUCGUCGGGUUUGUAGACGGCGAAGGUUGCUUCUCAAUAGGGCUCCUCCAUCAACCCGACCGAGGCAACCGCAAGGGCUACAAAACCCGAAUACAGGUGUUCCAUGAGUUCGCAGUCACGCAGGGCGCACGCAGCCUCGACGCUUUGCGACGACUGCAAAGCUUCUUCGGCGUCGGCUCCAUAAUCAUCAACCGACGCAGCGAUAACCAUAAGGAACCCCUGUACCGCUAUGUCGUGCGCAAGCGCGACGAACUUCUGCAAGUCAUCAUCCCGUUUUUCAGACAGUACCCACUGCACACUGCAAAACGGGACGACUUCGAGA